rnacentral:pre_miRNA from 1 species
UCUUGAAGCAUAACUGAAUAUUCUUAAAGCAUUACUGUUUUAUGGCAACAUUGUGAUGUGAAGAAUGGGAAUGCUUUAAGAAUUUCAGUUAUGCAUCAAUC